GCUGCAAUACCAAUGCUAGACACUGAGAAGGGAAAACAAGUUAACGGUCAAAAUAAUGCGAACUGCAAUGCUAAUGAAAUUCAUGAUUUAACAUCCUGGAACAGAUGAUAAAGUGGUAAAAAAAAUGCAUAUUUCACGCUAGUAACAUUAUCUAAGAUGGUAAUUUGCAAGACAAACCAGAGGAUUAUCUCACAAGUAACACCAAAUAAAGAAGGGGCAAACCAAAAGGAUCAAGUCAAUAGCAAUAGAUACCAACCUUUAAAUUUGCAUAUGACAUCCA
rnacentral:misc_RNA from 1 species